GGUUCAGGAUGAACGCUGGCGGCGUGCCUAACACAUGCAAGUCGAACGGAGUUAUAGGAGAGCUUGCUCGAAUAUAACUUAGUGGCGGACGGGUGAGUAACGCGUGAAUAAUCUGUCUCACACAGGGGAAUAACGCAUCGAAAGAUGUGCUAAUACCGCGUAGGACCACGGAAGGGCAUCCUUCAGAGGUGAAAGGCUUCGGCCGGUGUGAGGUGAGUUCGCGUCUGAUUAGAUAGUUGGUGGGGUAACGGCCUACCAAGUCAACGAUCAGUAGCCGACCUGAGAGGGUGAUCGGCCACAUUGGGACUGAGACACGGCCCAGACUCCUACGGGAGGCAGCAGUGGGGAAUAUUGGGCAAUGGGCGAAAGCCCUGACCCAGCAACGCCGCGUGAAGGAAGAAGGUUUUCGGAUCGUAAACUUCUGUCCUUGGUGAAGAUAAUGACGGUAGCCAAGGAGGAAGCCCCGGCUAACUACGUGCCAGCAGCCGC
rnacentral:rRNA from 1 species